CGCGGUAAUACGUAGGUGGCAAGCGUUAUCCGGAAUUAUUGGGCGUAAAGCGCGCGUAGGCGGUUUUUUAAGUCUGAUGUGAAAGCCCACGGCUCAACCGUGGAGGGUCAUUGGAAACUGGAAAACUUGAGUGCAGAAGAGGAAAGUGGAAUUCCAUGUGUAGCGGUGAAAUGCGCAGAGAUAUGGAGGAACACCAGUGGCGAAGGCGACUUUCUGGUCUGUAACUGACGCUGAUGUGCGAAAGCGUGGGGAUCAAACAGGAUUAGAUACCCUGGUAGUCCACGCCGUA
rnacentral:rRNA from 1 species